GUUUACAGCCAUACCACCCUGAGCAUGCCCAAUCUUGUCUGAGCUCAGAAGCUAAGCAAGGUUGGGCCCGGUAAGUACUUGGAUGUGAAACAUCAGUAGUUUUUUAAAGGUGCCUCAGCUCUGGUGGCAGCCAAGG
rnacentral:rRNA from 1 species